UGGGGAAUAUUGCACAAUGGAGGGAACUCUGCUGCAGCGACGCCGCGUGAACGAAGAAGGCCUUCGAGUCGUAAAGUUCUUUUCUAUGGGAAGAUAAUGACGGUACCAUAAGAAAAAGCCCCGGCUAACUACGUGCCAGCAGCCGCGGUAAUACGUAGGGGGCUAGCGUUGUCCUGAAUCACUGGGCGUAAAGGGUUCGCAGGCGGAAAUGCAAGUCAGGGGUAAAAGGCAGUAGCUUAACUACUGUAAGCAUUUGAAACUGCAUAUCUUGAUAAGAGUAGAGGUAAGUGGAAGUUUGAGUGUAGCGGUGUAAUGCGUAGAUAUUAAAAAGAAUACCGGUGGCGGAGGCAACUUAGUGGGCUCCUUCUGACGCUAAGGAACGAAAGCGUGGGUAGCGAACAGG
rnacentral:rRNA from 1 species